GAUGAACGCUGGCGGCGUGCCUAAUACAUGCCAGUCGAGCGAACGGAUGAGAAGCUUGCUUCUCUGAUGUUAGCGGCGGACGGGUGAGUAACACGUGGAUAACCUACCUAUAAGACUGGGAUAACUUCGGGAAACCGGAGCUAAUACCGGAUAGUAUUUUGAACCGCAUGGUUCAAAAGUGAAAGACGGUCUUGCUGUCACUUAUAGAUGGAUCCGCGCUGCAUUAGCUAGUUGGUAAGGUAACGGCUUACCAAGGCAACGAUGCAUAGCCGACCUGAGAGGGUGAUCGGCCACACUGGAACUGAGACACGGUCCAGACUCCUACGGGAGGCAGCAGUAGGGAAUCUUCCGCAAUGGGCGAAAGCCUGACGGAGCAACGCCGCGUGAGUGAUGAAGGUCUUCGGAUCGUAAAACUCUGUUAUUAGGGAAGAACAUAUGUGUAAGUAACUGUGCACAUCUUGACGGUACCUAAUCAGAAAGCCACGGCUAACUACGUG
rnacentral:rRNA from 1 species